UUCCAUUCUUGAAUUAAAACAUGUGAUUCUUCAUAUCGAACCUUGCAUAAACCAUAUAAAUAAAAUUAAUCAUUUUCUAAAAUCAAGUAGGAAUGAAAUAAGAAAAAAUUAGACGUAAGUGAUGCGAUUGGCCGAGGCGAGUAUAAAUUUUUCCUUAAGAUGAAUUUGCCCCGCAACAGUGCUAACGGUUUUCCGACAAUCAUCUCCCAAGAUACGACGACCACGUCGAGACAUAGGAGCACUCCAAAUGAUUUCGACCAGCGAACUCGAACGAAAUUCCCUCUCUACCAGGGAAAUGCAUGAAAAUGCUAUGGAAUUAGAAAUGAGAGAAUUGUAAGAGGAGAAUGAAUGCUCAAUGUAAUUGGUGUACCCAAAACCAUGUCCAUAGGGCUCUAUUUAUAGAUGUAGAAAGGGUGCAAAUAAAGUAGUAUUGGCCAAAACAUGCAUCCUUUCAAAAAGUUUCAACACUUGGCCAAUACCUGCAUCCUUUCGAAAAGUUGCAACACUUCAUUUCUUCCAACUUUGAUCCGCAAUUUCUCAUUCAUUUGAAAUUGGUUUCGAGAUUCCAAAUAUACCACGACGAUCUACUCGACGAGUAGAAUAAGUUGGUCUAUUUACUUUUGUAAUUUGACCAUUGGAUCAAGUCCAAAUAUUUGGCCGAAGUUGACACGUAGUCACGCCUUUUCAUUUUCCACUUUUACACACCUUUUCAUUUUCCAAUUUUUGGUUAAUUAUUUGAAUCAAUUCAUACAAUCCCCCACAUGAAUGGAAAUUCGAGUAUGUAAAUGUAAUGCUAUGAUGUGAUGCAAGUAGAGAGAGAGCGGAAAGCCACUGCAUCGGGGAUGGUAGCUUCGGGCCUAGAACCUCCCGUAGUGAAAUACUAUCGGACUUACUCGGCUAAUUGGUAAACGUGAUAUCUUGAACCAUUCAGCCUUUAGUGUAAGCCAAAACAAUGAUACUCACACAGAUGUCUUUCCUAAACCGUUCAUGAUUCUCAUGACUUGGUUCAUUUUGGCCCUGAACCCUUCUUGGUUCUACGAGUGUUUAAAGAAUUCAAGCCUUGAAUAAUUCUCAUUGAAGCGGCCCCACUUCACACUCACAUAAGUGACCUCCUAUUAAGAAUAUUCUGUCAUACUCCACUUGACUUAAUCAAUAUAUAUGAAUCAUUAAAAGAUUAUCUUAACCUCUUACAACUCUGCAGAAAGCACUUUAAUAUCAUAGGAAUGAGUUAAGAAACUAUUUUCGUUAGUGCUUCAUGGAAUUCUCAUAACUUAGUUGUCCCUUUGAACCAAGAUCUUGGGAUCUCCAGUCAACAAGGUAGGGUUACCAUUAC
rnacentral:lncRNA from 1 species